UGCAGUCGAACGGAAAGGCCCUUCGGGGUACUCGAGUGGCGAACGGGUGAGUAACACGUGGGUGAUCUGCCCUGCACUCUGGGAUAAGCCUGGGAAACUGGGUCUAAUACCGGAUAGGACCACAUACUUCAUGGUGUGUGGUGCAAAGCUUUUGCGGUGUGGGAUGAGCCCGCGGCCUAUCAGCUUGUUGGUGGGGUAAUGGCCCACCAAGGCGACGACGGGUAGCCGGCCUGAGAGGGUGACCGGCCACACUGGGACUGAGAUACGGCCCAGACUCCUACGGGAGGCAGCAGUGGGGAAUAUUGCACAAUGGGCGCAAGCCUGAUGCAGCGACGCCGCGUGAGGGAUGACGGCCUUCGGGUUGUAAACCUCUUUCAGUAGGGACGAAGCGAAAGUGACGGUACCUACAGAAGAAGGACCGGCCAACUACGUGCCAGCAGCCGCGGUAAUACGUAGGGUCCGAGCGUUGUCCGGAAUUACUGGGCGUAAAGAGCUCGUAGGUGGUUUGUCGCGUUGUUCGUGAAAACUCACAGCUUAACUGUGGGCGUGCGGGCGAUACGGGCAGACUAGAGUACUGCAGGGGAGACUGGAAUUCCUGGUGUAGCGGUGGAAUGCGCAGAUAUCAGGAGGAACACCGGUGGCGAAGGCGGGUCUCUGGGCAGUAACUGACGCUGAGGAGCGAAAGCGUGGGUAGCGAACAGGAUUAGAUACCCUGGUAGUCCACGCCGUAAACGGUGGGUACUAGGUGUGGGUUUCCUUCCUUGGGAUCCGUGCCGUAGCUAACGCAUUAAGUACCCCGCCUGGGGAGUACGGUCGCAAGACUAAAACUCAAAGGAAUUGACGGGGGCCCGCACAAGCGGCGGAGCAUGUGGAUUAAUUCGAUGCAACGCGAAGAACCUUACCUGGGUUUGACAUGCGCAGGACGUAUCUAGAGAUAGGUAUUCCCUUGUGGCCUGCGUGCAGGUGGUGCAUGGCUGUCGUCAGCUCGUGUCGUGAGAUGUUGGGUUAAGUCCCGCAACGAGCGC
rnacentral:rRNA from 1 species